CUACGGGCUGCUGCAGUGAGGAAUAUUGCACAAUGGGGGGAACCCUGAUGCAGCAACGCCGCGUGGAGGAUGACGCAUUUCGGUGUGUAAACUCCUUUUAUAUGUCAAGAAAAUGACGGUAGCAUAUGAAUAAGCACCGGCUAACUCCGUGCCAGCAGCCGCGGUAAUACGGAGGGUGCAAGCGUUACUCGGAAUCACUGGGCGUAAAGGACGCGUAGGCGGGUUGGAAAGUCAAGUGUGAAAUCCUACAGCUUAACUGUAGAACUGCACUUGAAACUUCUAAUCUAGAGUAUGGGAGGGGGAGAUGGAAUUAGUGGUGUAGGGGUAAUAUCCGUAGAUAUCACUAGGAAUACCUAAAGCGAAGGCGAUCUCCUGGAACAUUACUGACGCUAAGGCGUGAAAGCGUGGGGAGCAAACAGGAUUAGAUACCCUCGUAGUC
rnacentral:rRNA from 1 species